rnacentral:tRNA from 1 species
GGCGGGGUAGCUCAGCGGUUAGAGCAGCGGCUUCAUAAGCCGUGUGUCGUGGGUUCGAUCCCCACCCUCGCCA